CUGUGUCAGUCAUCGCUGCCAUCAUCAUCAUCAUCGGCCUCCUGGGAGUCGGUGUCUGGAAGCUCCGAUACGGGAAGAGGGAGGGGAAUGGAUACGACCCCGCGCCCACCACAGGAAUCACGGCCUGAGCAAUCCCGGAGCUGGAUCCACCCCUUCCCUCUCCCUGCGGAAAGGCAGGAGCUGCUGGCAGAGCUCAUCCCGCUGCUCCCACCCACCCCGGCCCCCCUGCGGCUCUUCCCAA